rnacentral:rRNA from 1 species
UACGGAGGGGACUAGCGUUGUUCGGAAUUACUGGGCGUAAAGCGCACGUAGGCGGAUUUGUAAGUCAGGGGUGAAAUCCCGGGGCUCAACCUCGGAACUGCCUUUGAUACUGCAAAUCUCGAGUCCGGAAGAGGUGAGUGGAAUUCCUAGUGUAGAGGUGAAAUUCGAUAGAUAUUAGGAAGAACACCAGUGGCGAAGGCGGCUCACUGGUCCGGUACUGACGCUGAGGUGCGAAAGCGUGGGGAGCAACAGG